CCGACCGGGGAGGCCUCAGUGUCUCCUCUCCUUCGGGAGAACGGAAGGACGCCUGCGGCCUACGCUAAGGAGGACCUUCUGAGACUUCCGACAGCAAGUACCAGUGGUGACCAUCAGAACCAGCUCCCCUGAAAGCAGUGACAUCGAGAAGGCCCACUGUCACCAGCUGUCCUCAAAACCAAGCUGCAGUUUCUGGCCCGUGCAGAGAUGUACUGCUGGAGAGGGGGAAGACCGCCGCCCCCGGGUUACGCGAGUCUGGGUGUGGAAAAUCAAAGGAAUGGACACUAAGAGGACUUCCCAUGGUGGCACAGUAGGACUCCCAAGCAUAACACAACAACAUGUGUCAUGUAUGUUUAGGAUACAAUGCUACAGCAAGCAGGCCGUGUAUCAGACACACGAAACCCGGGAGGACAUCUCCGACCACUUCCUGUGUUUUCUGUGAAACAUGCAAAUGUCCAUCCAGACUGGGGUUCAGGUAGACAACAAGGGACCCUGAGUUGAUGAUGCUGCCAAAUUCACCCCCACUUUAGUUACAAUACCCAUGUUUUCAUACUUUCCUUUUAGGUUUCAUAACUGAAUCUUGAAACCGAAACCGAUUCACGAACAGAAUCUCUACCUGUAUCGUGAGGUUAUUGCAAUCAUAUCCUGUGACCCUGCAUUUCCUUCCUGGAGAAACUAGUACAUGUGUGACUAUACAUGUGCGUAUAUGGUAUGCAUUUGUGGGCACUAGGUUACGUGUGCAAGGAUGUCUUUACCCGAAUCAUUUCUGAACAUACUGGAAGGAAUCAAAAUGCCUGUCAACAGAAGAAUGGAUACAUUACCUGUGACACUGUCCACAGCAGUGAGCUGAAGGGACUUUAACUAUGUGUAACUAACGAAGCAGCUGGACGUGUGUCACACCUCCUAUCCCCUCCAUCCACACACGCUCUCUUGGUAAUGCCCUCAGGCCCACGGUUUUGCACAUGAUCCGCUGAUCACAUCCAAAAGUGUAUUUCUAGUGCACACUUUUCAAUUUCACAUGGUCAUGAGCCAUUUUCUUAGAAAGAAAAUGUAAGAUUACACUUAAACUUGGCAGAUUACAUUGAAGUGACACAGUCACAGACAACAUAUAUUCAAAUCUAUUGUAGAAAAUGUCUGUUUUCAAGUAGCUAAAAUGCCAGUAAACCACUUUCAGCUCUCAUUUCCUUUUCAUUUGACAAUUCUUUUGCAUGUUUCUAUGAUUAAACUUUUAUGUUAUCUACUCCUUUAUGCUGCAAAAAGUUUAAAAAAGGAUAAUGAUAUGGGUGAUAAUUUUUAGUCAAAAUAGCAUUCUUAAUAAAAAAAGAGUGGAUGUAAAAUAAC